AUGAAUGAUUUCCCAAAAAAAAAGAGUUUGAAUAACAGUACAUAAUAAUCAAUUGAUACUCAAAAGCUACCAACAGCUUAACUGCAUUCACAAACACAUUAUCUAUUCUAAAAUUGAGGAGGGAUUUGACUGUAGCUUAGCUACAGUCAAAAUUUUCUCCCUUGAUUUUGCCUUAUUUACAUCACAGCCACCAAAUCUGUGUCUGGGUUGGAGGGUAAUCAUUAAAAGUUAAGAGGGUAAUUGUGUCCGUAGGUUUGAGUCGAAUUUCACUUUAUUUACAAAAUUACCACUGCCUUUUCUUUCCCCCCCCCCAUCUCUCCCGACUCUCUCUCUCAUCUCUCUCAUCUCUCACUCUUCCUGUUUCUGUCCUUCUCAAACCCUAGCGGCCAUAACUCCAUCUCUUCCGUUUCUCUCAUCCUAGAACGGAAGAAAGAUGGAAAAUCAGGGCUCUUCCAUUUGCUUCCACAGAUUUCUCGGGCUCCGGAUCGCUAGCCUCCGUAUGAAGAUUUGUUGCCUUCGGGAAGAAAUUUUUAACCUAGAAAAGCUUGGUUUUCAGGAAAUCGUCAAUCCUAACCUGAUGCUCGGUGACCUUUAGGGCAGCUUCAUUCUCUCUUCUUCUCCAACCAUGGUUCCAGAUCCACUGGGCAUCAAGGUGAGUUUGAUAUUGGCCAUAUUUUUUAGCUUUGUUAGUGCAUCUAAUUUAUUUUUUUGGAUGCGUGGUUUUCAAUUUAGGGAUGAAUAUUGUGUUUAAAUUUUGCUUUUGUAAGUUUGGGGGUUGUUUUUAAAUUUUGCCUUUCUAAUUUUGUGGGUUUUCUGUGUGCUUUUGGAUUAUCUUAUUUGAUUUAGUUUUCAAUUGAAAUAAAGUAGGAUGUUUUUAAUGAUUUGAAGAACUCAGCUGCACUGCAUGAACAUCUGCUGAUAAUGUAUGACCUUCUUUUUAUGCUUUCCAGUUCAAUCAAAGCUAAUUAGACAGAAUCAUGAAUUAAUUAAAUGUGGUGUCUUCCUUUCUCCUCUGUUUCUUUUGUUGUUGGGUGAAAGUGAGCAUGGGUUUAUGAUAAAGCCAUUUAAAAGGAUAGCUGGAGAGAGAGAGGGGGGGUUAUAUAGUAGGUGUAUAUAGUGACUCAAAAGUUAAGGCAUACUGACAGAAAAAUGCACAGAUUGGUAUGGUAAAAAUGAAAAAAAAAAGAAAAAAAAAAUUAAACCCAAUAGAAUAUAGAAAAUGAAGUGUUUAGGUGAGUUGAUAUCAAUUUCAGAUAUGUAAUCAUUUUGUAAUCAAUUUGAAUACAGCAUGUGGAACACUUUGAAUUCAGGUUGUCUUUUUCUCCCCUUUUUUCUUUCUGUUUAUUUAACUUUGGAUUGGCUGCUUUAUUUGUUUUUCUAGAUUAUAUAUUUUGAUCUUCUCUAAAAAACUUCUGUAUCGUCCACAGUCACCUGCUUCUGCUCCUCAACUUGCUUGAUUUUUAGUUUUCAAACUCUGAUUUUUUACAUGUGUCAGCAAUUGAUUGCCUUCUUUUGGAAAAAUGCUAAAUGGAAAACUGAAUUUGGGUUGUCUGAUUAAUGGUUUUUGUUCUUCAUUUUACUAACAUUUUUGUCCAUUUUCUCCAACUCUCUCUUGCAGCAAAAUCACCGUUACCACCCAACAAACCCAUUAUCUGGAAUUUCAAUUACUGUGCAUGGAGGGAGGUAAAGUUAUCUUUCUCUACAAAGUGUAGAUUCUUUAUUUCGGGUUUCAUUUGUUUGUGUUUUGUUUUCUUCGUUGGGAAUAUUGGUUUUUUUUGUUAAUUGUUGAAUUGGAGUAUUGGGUAACUUGAAUUUUGCUUCAAAUUGUAGUAAUUACUGUGCAAAUUUACAUUUUUGUGUGAAAUUAGAGAGAGUUUCGGUUUUGAAAGUUAUAUUUGCAAAUAUAAAAAGAGAUUAUGUAAAAAACAUGGAGGAACUAAAUGCGUGUUUAAUUGUCAUUAAACGCUACCUUUUAGCUAUGUAAAUCAAGAGGAUGGCUCUGCAAAAGGAAUUGUUUUCUCUCUAUUUUUUCUCCGACUUCUUUUUUAUUUAUUAAUAUCGGUUUUUCCCCGUUUCUAAAUGAUUCUCAUCAGUUUUUUUGCAGUUUUCUGUGGAGGUUUAGUUGAACAUGGAGACAAUAUCCAGUUGCGUGAAGGCAGGAAUGUCUGGUAUUGCUCACCUGGUAUGUUUAAUUUUCAUUGAAUUAUGAGAUAUAUCUAAUUUAAUUAGCAAUUUAAGUUGACCAAUACUUUCUGGAAGAGUCCUGUUAAACUGGGAUGAGACUUGAUAUUGAACUGGGAAGAGUCCUGUAAAAUGGCUUGAAAGAUUAUUAAACCCCAACGAUAAUGACUUUAUUCUCUCCGAACUACAAAUAGACAAACUCUCAAACAUAACGGAUAUAUCUUUAUUUAAAUUGUCGUUUGACAUAUCAAGAUCCUUCAACUUCGCCUCACUAAUCCCAAUUUUCAGUAGGAUUUCCACCUCUAUGAUUGGGAUUUCAACAACAGUAAUACUUGGUUGGGUGGUAAGAUAAAUCCUUUUUGCUCCAUUUGAAUCAUCUUAAUUACUUGGAUUUGAAUUACAACAAUUUUCAAGGAUUGCAGGUUCUCCAACAACCCAUUUAGGUGGAGAUUUGAUUCCAUAUUGUUUACACAUCUAUCUUAAAUGCUGUCUUGCAGAAUCUGUAGUUAAUUCCAAGUUUACUAUCUGAUGUGCUAUUAGAUGCUAUUUUUUGAAGAUUUUUCUUUACAAUUUAGUAAUUGUAUUGCUCCUUUAGCUGUAUGAACUCGGUAAAAGUAUCAGGUUGUGGACUCUGAACUGUUGAUUCUCUACGGUUUCUUCUGCUUUGUCCAAUUGUUAUCAUUAUUCCAAUUGGGUAAUUUUGGGUUUUUAACAAUGUUUAUUUGUUUAUUGAUAAAUUAGGGGGUCUAGACUCUUAAUUGCAGGUGAGAAAAAUAGAGAGCCAGCAAAGCUUCGUUGAGAGGAUGCACGAGUUUCCUGGGAUGGUAUUAUUCCUUCAUUUGGGUUAACACAAAUACCCAAAAAUGUAAUUGAUCGUUAUGCGGUUUGUAAGUUGGGUUUUUCUAACUGGUGGAUUAUCGAAUUGAUAAAAUUGGUCAAAUUGGUGGAGCAUGCAUGAGUUAUGGCAGCAGGAACAGAAGGGGUUAAUUGGUAUUCUACCCGUUCAAGAUGCAGCUGAGGCAGCAACAGUAGACUCUAUGUUGUUUAUCCUUUUUGUUUGUUCAUGAUUAUGUUGAAUGUUUUUCAGGUUAAAUGUGUCUUAUUCAUGUAGUUAA